UGGGUUGUGGCUCAGUGGUAGAUCGCUUGCCUAGCAUGUAUGAGGCACUGGAUUCAAUCCCCAGCACCACAU
rnacentral:tRNA from 1 species